UUACCAUAGAUUUCUAUAUAUAUUACCUGUGCUGGUUACAAUCGGCCAUAAUGCAGCAAUGAAUGGCAAAGAGAUCGUACGGGACAACAUGAAGGAAGAUUAAAUUAAGCAUUACAACAAAAGAAUUAUAUGAUGCACAUCAACAUAAUUGCAGCAUUGAUGCAUUGCAGUAAACCAGGAUACAUAGGAGUACCAUAAAAGGAUCUGCGCAGAUAAAAAUGAUAGCAGAGGUUUAAUGAAUAAUUUCGUCGAUUAACGUCUGAUUCCUGUUCUCCAAUACCGCAACACGAUUUUCUAAGCACUUUAUAUAUUCUUUUUUCUUUCUUCUACAUUCACGCGCCGCCUCCCUAAAUACAUUAAAGAUAUAGAGCAACCUUAAUUCUCUCUUUCGCGCCGCAUCUUCCACUACAACCCCAUGACCUGUGUAAGCUGGAACAUUGUAAGAGACUGCACUUUUCAAAUUUUUGCGUUAUGCGCGUCAAAAUUUUAUAUGAUUUUCUACUAAACUCUGCUUAUUUUACUCGAUAAGAAUUAUAAUCAUAUUUGUCAAAAGAAAAUAGCUUAGACCAUGUAUCAAACUGUAUUGUCAAAUUUAUAUGAUGUAUGUAUUACUGGUAUAUUAAUACAAUAUAAUAUAUUACUUUUUUAUAUAUAAAUUAAACUAUAAUUGCACAUAUAACAAUAUUAUAGUAAUAUGCUGAAAAAGAAAAAUUACAAUAAUGUAUUAUUUCAGAAUAAUACAAUAUUGUUAUAAAAA